rnacentral:ncRNA from 2 species
UAAAAUAGGCCAAGUUGACAUUGUAUACCUCAAUAAGACGGUUUGAGGGUAUCUACCGGGGACCAUACCUCCCGACUACAAAGUCGCGCCGAAGGCGC